rnacentral:rRNA from 1 species
GACGAAGGGGGCUAGCGUUGUUCGGAAUUACUGGGCGUAAAGCGAGUGUAGGCGGUUGUUCAAGUCAGGUGUGAAAGCCUUGAGCUCAACUCAAGAAAUGCACUUGAUACUGGAUGACUAGAGGACCGGAGAGGAUAGUGGAAUUCCCAGUGUAGUGGUGAAAUACGUAGAGAUUGGGAAGAACACCAGUGGCGAAGGCGGCUAUCUGGACGGUUACUGACGCUAAGACUCGAAAGCGUGGGGAGCGAACAGG